GGGGUAGUAGUUCAGUUGGUUAGAACGCCGGCCUGUCAAGCCGGAGGUCGCGGGUUCGAGUCCCGUCUAUCCCGCAA
rnacentral:tRNA from 3 species